CAUAUGUGCCUUGACAUACAUGCAUGUGCAUGUAUGUACACAUACACAUAUACACGCACACAUACACACAACACU
rnacentral:miRNA from 14 species